GGUGGCUCAAUGGUAGAGCGCUUGCCUUGCAUGCAUGAGGUUCUGGGUUCAAUUCCUCAGCACCA
rnacentral:tRNA from 1 species